rnacentral:rRNA from 1 species
UACGAAGGGGGCUAGCGUUGCUCGGAAUCACUGGGCGUAAAGGGCGCGUAGGCGGAUCUUUAAGUCGGGGGUGAAAUCCCGGGGCUCAACCCCGGAACUGCCUUCGAUACUGAGGAUCUUGAGUCCGGGAGAGGUGAGUGGAACUGCGAGUGUAGAGGUGAAAUUCGUAGAUAUUCGCAAGAACACCAGUGGCGAAGGCGGCUCACUGGCCCGGUACUGACGCUGAGGUGCGAAAGCGUGGGGAGCAAACAGG